rnacentral:rRNA from 1 species
CUACGGGUGGCUCCAGUGGGGAAUAUUGGACAAUGGGGGAAACCCUGAUCCAGCAAUGCCGCGUGUGUGAAGAAGGCCUGCGGGUUGUAAAGCACUUUCGGUUGGGAGGACUGCUUCUAGCACUAAUAUUGUUGGAAGUUGACGUUACCUUCAGAAGAAGCACCGGCUAACUCCUGUGCCAGCAGCCGCGGUAAUACGGAGGGUGCACGCGUUAAUCGGAAUUACUGGGCGUAAAGCGCGCGUAGGCGGCUAGAUCAGUCGAGUGUGAAAGCCCCGGGCUUAACCUGGGAACUGCAUCCGAUACUGUCGAGCUUGAGUACAGGAGAGGAGAGUGGAAUUCCACAUGUAGCGGUGAAAUGCGUAGAGAUGUGGAGGAACACCAAUGGCGAAGGCAGCUCUCUGGCCUGAUACUGACGCUGAGGUGCGAAAGCGUGGGGAGCAAACAGGAUUAGAUACCCGCGUAGUC